rnacentral:rRNA from 1 species
AGAGUUUGAUCAUGGCUCAGAACGAACGCUGGCGGCAGGCCUAACACAUGCAAGUCGAUCGCUCUCUUCGGAGAGAGAGGCGCACGGGUGAGUAACGCGUGGGAACCUACCUUGGAGUACGGAAUAACCAUUGGAAACGAUGGCUAAUACCGUAUACGCCCUACGGGGGAAAGAUUUAUCGCUCCAGGACGGGCCCGCGUUGGAUUAGCUAGUUGGUGAGGUAAUGGCUCACCAAGGCUACGAUCCAUAGCUGGUUUGAGAGAAUGAUCAGCCACACUGGGACUGAGACACGGCCCAGACUCCUACGGGAGGCAGCAGUGGGGAAUAUUGGACAAUGGGCGCAAGCCUGAUCCAGCCAUGCCGCGUGAGUGAAGAAGGCCUUCGGGUUGUAAGGCUCUUUCAGAUGUGAAGAUGAUGACGGUAGCAUCAGAAGAAGCCCCGGCUAACUUCGUGCCAGCAGCCGCGGUAAUACGAAGGGGGCUAGCGUUGUUCGGAAUUACUGGGCGUAAAGCGCGCGUAGGCGGCGUCGUCAGUCAGGGGUGAAAUCCCGGGGCUCAACCUCGGAAUUGCCUUUGAUACUGCGAUGCUUGAGCCCGUGAGAGGAUAGUGGAAUACCCAGUGUAGAGGUGAAAUUCGUAGAUAUUGGGUGGAACAUCAGUGGCGAAAGGCGGCUCACUAGACUGAUACUGACGCUGAGGUGCGAAAGCGUGGGGAGCAAAC